rnacentral:SRP_RNA from 2 species
CGGUCUCUCGCAACGGUGUCUGGUUUACUCGGUCAGGUCCGGAAGGAAGCAGCCAAAGUCGGAAUUACUGUGUGCCGAGAAG